UAGAUUUUCCCUUCUCUAUUAUGAAGGGAUAAAAAUAGAUAUAAAAAAAUAUAAUGUAAGGUCAAGUAAUUAAUUGAAUGAGCUAAAGAGACAAACAUAUUUUAUGCAUACAUCUAAGAAACAUUAAUUUAAUAAUAAUUAUGAUUUUAAGAAUAGUUUCAAAUUAACAAGCAUGAAGUUUUUUCACACUAUAAAGCUACCAAAUGAUUCUUAUUUCUAGAUUCAUAAAAGUAAAAAUAUGGUUAAAGUUUAUAUGUUUAUUUAUGCUAUGGUUAUCUUUUUUUCCAUAUUAAUUUCUAUAGCAAAUAGCUUGUUCUUCAUGUGCCGAACUAACGAUGAUUGUCGAUAUCUUCCGUGUAUUGAUGAAAUUAGUGGUGAAAUUAGUGGUGAAAUUCCAGCCUGUGGGUUUCCAUUUCAUGUGACCGGAUCUGAGGGAUUUGGAAUUUGUGGAUGUUAUGAGAAGGUCCCAAGUACAUUGCACAAAAUUAGUGGCUUGUGAAUGUAUACUUAUGUAUAAAGCAGUAAAAUUUAAUU